rnacentral:rRNA from 1 species
GACGAACGCUGGCGGCGUGCUUAACACAUGCAAGUCGAACGGAAAGGCCCUGCUUUUGUGGGGUGCUCGAGUGGCGAACGGGUGAGUAACACGUGAGUAACCUGCCCUUGACUUUGGGAUAACUUCAGGAAACUGGGGCUAAUACCGGAUAGGAGCUCCUGCUGCAUGGUGGGGGUUGGAAAGUUUCGGCGGUUGGGGAUGGACUCGCGGCUUAUCAGCUUGUUGGUGGGGUAGUGGCUUACCAAGGCUUUGACGGGGAGCCGGCCUGAGAGGGUGACCGGCCACAUUGGGACUGAGAUACGGCCCAGACUCCUACGGGAGGCAGCAGUGGGGAAUAUUGCACAAUGGGCGGAAGCCUGAUGCAGCAACGCCGCGUGCGGGAUGACGGCCUUCGGGUUGUAAACCGCUUUCGCCUGUGAGGAAGCGUGAGUGACGGUAAUGGGUAAAGAAGCACCGGCUAACUACGUG